rnacentral:rRNA from 1 species
GAGUUGGUCGAGAGGGCUGACACAUUAGCACGAGGCCGCGAGGCCUUGAUGUUUACGCUUGCAUGUUUGACAGAGUUUAAAUUGUGACCUUUAAAAUGACAACUUUUAACAACGGAUCUCUUGGCUCUUGCAACGAUGAAGAACGCAGUAAAGUGCGAUAUGUAGUGCGAUUUGCAUGAAUCUGUGAGUCAUCUAAUCUUUGAACGCAACUUGCGCCUCUCUGAGGCAUGUCUGUUUGAGUGCCGCAUACUCUACUGCAGCAAUGCGACUUGAUCCGUGUCGGCGACGACUGGGUCUAAAUGUAGCCAGAUAAUGGUCUGUGAGGACUAGCCCGAGUGCUAAGCAUUCUUGGGUCUAGGCCCCGCCUGCCACAAUCUAUCUAUCUAAUUGGCCUCAAAUCAGGCAAGACUACCCGCUGAACUUAAGCAUAUCAAUAGGCGGAGGAAA